CCUACGGGUGGCAGCAGUGGGGAAUUUUGGACAAUGGGCGCAAGCCUGAUCCAGCCAUGCCGCGUGCGGGAAGAAGGCCUUCGGGUUGUAAACCGCUUUUGGCAGGGACGAAACGGCGCCGGCUAAUACUCGGCGCUAAUGACGGUACCUGCAGAAUAAGCACCGGCUAACUACGUGCCAGCAGCCGCGGUAAUACGUAGGGUGCAAGCGUUAAUCGGAAUUACUGGGCGUAAAGCGUGCGCAGGCGGCUAUGCAAGACAGGUGUGAAAUCCCCGGGCUUAACCUGGGAACUGCAUUUGUGACUGCAUGGCUAGAGUUUGUCAGAGGGGGGUGGAAUUCCACGUGUAGCAGUGAAAUGCGUAGAGAUGUGGAGGAACACCGAUGGCGAAGGCAGCCCCCUGGGACCUGACUGACGCUCAUGCACGAAAGCGUGGGGAGCAAACAGGAUUAGAUACCCUAGUAGUC
rnacentral:rRNA from 1 species